rnacentral:rRNA from 1 species
UACAGAGGGGGCAAGCGUUAAUCGGAAUUACUGGGCGUAAAGCGCACGUAGGUGGCGACGUAAGUCGGGUGUGAAAGCCCCGGGCUCAACCUGGGGAUUGCAUUCGAGACUGCAUUGCUGGAGUACGGAAGAGGAAGGCGGAAUUCCCGGUGUAGCGGUGAAAUGCGUAGAUAUCGGGAGGAACAUCAGUGGCGAAGGCGGCCUUCUGGUCCAGUACUGACACUCAAGUGCGAAAGCGUGGGGAGCAAACAGG